rnacentral:rRNA from 1 species
AGUGAACGCUGGCGGUAGGCCUAACACAUGCAAGUCGAACGGCAGCACAGUAAGCGCUUGCUCUUACGGGUGGCGAGUGGCGGACGGGUGAGGAAUACAUCGGAAUCUACUUUUUCGUGGGGGAUAACGUAGGGAAACUUACGCUAAUACCGCAUACGACCUACGGGUGAAAGCAGGGGAUCUUCGGACCUUGCGCGAUUGAAUGAGCCGAUGUCGGAUUAGCUAGUUGGCGGGGUAAAGGCCCACCAAGGCGACGAUCCGUAGCUGGUCUGAGAGGAUGAUCAGCCACACUGGAACUGAGACACGGUCCAGACUCCUACGGGAGGCAGCAGUGGGGAAUAUUGGACAAUGGGCGCAAGCCUGAUCCAGCCAUGCCGCGUGGGUGAAGAAGGCCUUCGGGUUGUAAAGCCCUUUUGUUGGGAAAGAAAAGCAGCAGGUUAAUACCCCGCUGUUCUGACGGUACCCAAAGAAUAAGCACCGGCUAACUUCGUG